ACAGGAAAAUUGUUAUCCAAAGAACCUUUAAAAAAUAAAAGAAUUUCAUUUUUAAUAUGUAGUGAUUAACAUCCACUUCGUUUUUGCUGUUGGUCUCCAAAGAAUUCUAAAUUUUUUUUUUUAAAUAAUAACAUACAACUGCUGAAAUUGUACAAAAAAACUACUAUUACAAGUUGGAGUAAUUUCAAAUUGAAGCCACUCCAUCACUGAAAACCUUCCUCAGUUGAUUAUGCAAACUCCUGGCUAUAGUUGCAUCUUUGACAUUUUAACUAGUUAACUAAGAAUUCUAGCAUCUAGCAAGUCCUUCCUUCCCGUUAUGAGCAACUUCAUCAGGGUAUUGUCCACAGACAGGUCGUGGAGCAAACUUUUGUCUCAGGUCCUUGAUGAUGCAAACAACUACCUUGGUCUUACUUUGUGCUUUCUCACCAGUCACCAUCUCUGAGUAUUUCUAUUCUAAUUGAGCUUUCCUCAAACAAGUCCUGUCAGCAUUUUUGGUCUAGAAUGUAUGGAAAGAACUCCUCGGGAGCAACCUCCCCUUGCAUCUGCAUAAUUAGUUCCUAUUUCCAACAAACAAGUUCAUCACUUUCUAAAGAGGGAAAAUAAAAGCAAUCUCCAAUAAAACAGAGGAUACAACACUUGCCUAGUCUCAAGGUCAGCCUCAUUUGUCCUCAACUCUCACACAUUGGCAAUCUUCAGAUAUUUAGUUCCAGGAAUGACCAUUAAAGAGCACUGAACUGCCAAAGUUGAAAUUGCCUAACCAGAGCACCACCAACAAAGUAAGCUAAUUUAAUUGUUUUAAAAGCAGAAAUCUUGCGAGAAAUUGACAGACAUAUGCCCAUAAAUACACUAUCAGAGAAAGAAAGAAAGAGGGGGAAAAAAGCAAUCUACAAAAAUUGUACCUACACAAUUUAAGAAAGAAAAUCCAAACAGACUCUCUUCUAUUUCCUUUUUGAAAAGAACUCAUAGGUGACUUUCAACAUUCUAAGUAAAGGUUUUGUGAAGAACGACGCACACUAAAAUUCAAUUACAACAAUUAAUUUCUUAACUUUCUUUGAGGCAAGAACAGAGACUAGUUAUUCCUCCCUUCUCUUUAUUUUUUUAUUUUUUUUUGGGCACAUCAAAAUAAUGAAUAAGAGCCUAGCCCCACAAGCGCCAAAAAUAAAAUUAAAAAAAGGAAGAAGAAGAAGAGCAUCAGAGUCUAAUGAUGACUUACUUUGGAUCUUUACCGUAACCAUCAAUUCUUGUUAUCAAGGACUAACAAACAGCCCAAAUCUAAAGUUAAGUUGGAUUUUUAUCAGUUUGAUGGUCUCCAAUUAGAUGUAAGCUUUGCAGGAAAAGAAAGAUGAGCAGCGCCAAUGAGGAGGGGGGUUGAGAUAGAAACAGGGCCCUGGAAGUGAAAAAUAUUUAAUUAGUUCUGCAAAAAAGCAAUAAAAAACUGCUAAAAGAAAUGAAUUGAAAAACAAGCAAAGAGGUUGAACAGGGAGAAAAGGCCAUUAAACCUGAAUGAACAUUUCUGGUAGAUCAUUAAUCCGAUGAUCCGUUAACAUUGUCUUCUCUAUUUUUAAUGAGCAACAAACGUAAAAUUUCUUCCGUUUCUUCUUCUUUGUAUUUUUUUCUUAUAUCUUUGCUAUGCUCCAUGAGAAGCAUUCUCGCCUCAACCAAAAAAAUCAAUCGCCCUUGCUUAGGGGAAAGAAUGGCGUAUAUAUAGAUACAAGCAGACACUACACCCAUUUCUUGGAUAUUACCAUCAUACGUCAGCUUAUCCACAGAAUUUCACACGUUUAUGGAGAGUUGAUGGCACCGGGAAAGUGAUCCGGAUUUUUAGGCUUGGCGCAUAUGUUAUGAGUACUAAAUGCAUUCACACUCGCUGACAACUCCUAAAUUUAGAAAAGCACCAAAUGCGUUCACACCCACUGACUGCGAAAAAAUUUUGGACAUAAAGCUCAACAUAAUAGCCUUAUCAAUUUUCCUCAAAAUUUUGCAACAGAAGUCUUCUUGAACCAUUCCACUAUAUCAAUUUUAAGGAAAUUGAGUUGCUACAUUUGUUGGGUUGAACUUAACCCCCGUAUAUAGGUUGUCU
rnacentral:lncRNA from 1 species